rnacentral:rRNA from 1 species
UACGAAGGGGGCUAGCGUUGCUCGGAAUGACUGGGCGUAAAGGGCGCGUAGGCGGUGUACACAGUCAGGCGUGAAAUUCCCGGGCUCAACCUGGGGGCUGCGCUUGAUACAUGUACGCUUGAGUUCGGAAGAGGGUCGUGGAAUUCCCAGUGUAGAGGUGAAAUUCGUAGAUAUCGGGAGGAACACCAGUGGCGAAGGCAGCUCUCUGGGUCCCUACCGACGCCUGGGG